AUGGUGCAGCGGAGAGCUGAAUAUUUAAAGUUGACCGCCCUCCGCCAAGAGGGCAAUGAGGUGGGUGCCAUGGCACAGGUGUUCUGGUCCCUGGCUGAGGGCAUGGGAAAUAAUGAUGCGGCCCUCCAGAGUCGAGUCAGGUGCCUGUGGACCCUCCAGAGUCGACUCAGGUGCCCGUGGACCUUCCAGAGUCGAGUCAGGUGCCCGUGGACCUUCCAGAGUCGAGUCAGGUGCCCGUGGACCCUCCAGAGUCGAGUCAGGUGCCCGUGGACCCUCCAGAGUCGAGUCAGGUGCCCGUGGACCUUCCAAAGUCAGGUCAGGUGCCCGUGGACCCUCCAGAAUCGAGUCAGGUGCCCGUGGACCCUCCAGAGUCGAGUCAGGUGCCCUUGGACCUUCCAGAGUCGAGUCGAGUCAGGUGCCCGUGGACCUUCCAGAGUCGAGUCAGGUCCAGAGUCGAGUCAGGUGCCCGUGGACCUUCCAGAGUUGAGUCAGGUGCCCGUGGACCUUCCAGAGUCGAGUCGAGUCGAGUCAGGUGCCCUUGGACCUUCCAGAGUCGAGUCGAGUCAGGUGCCCGUGGACCCUCCAGAGUCGAGUCAGGUGCCCGUGGACCCUCCAGAGUCGAGUCAGGUGCCCUUGGACCUUCCAGAGUUGAGUCAGGUGCCCGUGGACCUUCCAGAGUCGAGUCGAGUCAAGUCAGGUGCCCUUGGACCUUCCAGAGUCGAGUCGAGUCAGGUGCCCGUGGACCCUCCAGAGUCGAGUCAGGUGCCCGUGGACCUUCCAGAGUCGAGUCAGGUUCCCGUGGACCUUCCAGAGUCGAGUCAGGUCCCCAUGGACCCUCCAGAGUCGAGUCAGGUGCCCUUGGACCUUCCAGAGUCGAGUCGAGUCAGGUGCCCGUGGACCUUCCAGAGUCGAGUCAGGUCCAGAGUCGAGUCAGGUGCCCGUGGACCUUCCAGAGUUGAGUCAGGUGCCCGUGGACCUUCCAGAGUCGAGUCGAGUCGAGUCAGGUGCCCUUGGACCUUCCAGAGUCGAGUCGAGUCAGGUGCCCGUGGACCCUCCAGAGUCGAGUCAGGUGCCCGUGGACCCUCCAGAGUCGAGUCAGGUGCCCGUGGGCCCCUCCAGAGUCGAGUCAGGUGCCCGUGGACCCUCCAGAGUCGAGUCAGGUGCCCGUGGACACUCCAGAGUCGAGUCAGGUGCCCGUGGACCCUCCAGAGUCAGGGCUAG
rnacentral:lncRNA from 1 species